GUCGCAGGAGUUUGCACGCUUUUGGGCAGCCCACUGCGAGGACAAAUUUGGUGGAAGAAGUGCAAUAGUGAAGGCAGUUGCACCUUCGCUCCAUGGCAUGGAGGUUGCGAAGCUGGCAUUAC
rnacentral:SRP_RNA from 1 species